GACAGAGGGCGCAAACGUUGUUCGGAAUUACUGGGCGUAAAGCGCGUGUAGGCUGCUCUGCAAGUCGGAUGUGAAAGCCCUGGGCUCAACCUAGGAAGUGCAUUCGAAACUGCAGAGCUGGAGUCCUGGAGAGGAAGGCGGAAUUCUCGGUGUAGAGGUGAAAUUCGUAGAUAUCGAGAGGAACACCGGUGGCGAAGGCGGCCUUCUGGACAGUGACUGACGCUGAGACGCGAAAGCGUGGGGAGCAAACAGG
rnacentral:rRNA from 1 species